UAUGCACCAUUACAAUAAGCACAAUGAACAUUGGCUUGUUGGUAGAAACUACGUGGAUCAUCUUGAGGUAGGGCUUUCAUAAGGCCAAUGGCUUUCUCAUACUUGGCUAUAUAGUCUUUAUUGACCAAAUUUGCAGCUGGUCUAACCUUCAAGGGUUGUUUAGUGGAAGGGAAUUUGAAGUCUAUGAUGUUUUCAGAAGGUGGUGGACAACAAUUGAUGGGUUUUGCACCAGCGGGAAUAUCCGCUGGACCACACUUGGUUGUGUCCGGUGGUGAUAUUGGAGCAGCAAAGGCGAAAGGGUUGUUGCUAAGAGUGGCAGCACCACAAAGUCCUCCAAGUCCAAUAAGAACAUUCCUCCUAUGCCCUACAAUAUGUGCUGGUUCUCCCUCAGAGUUUGGUCUAGGUUUGUUUUGGUUAGCACAACAUGCUACUUUAGAAACCUUUUGGUUUCUUAGGUUUCUAUGUUUAAAGGUUUGGUAAUGUUUUCUAGACAAUGGAUACAAAGAAGAAGGUGAAGUGGUUGUGGAAAUGGAAGAGACAUUGGAAGUGGACAAGAACAAAGGAAGUGGGAUAGAUGCCAUGUUUAGGUAGGUAUGUUGUUUUGUAUCUUGAAGAUUUAUUAUACUUUUCAAUCCAUUUAUAGUAAAUUGCUGAAGACUUUUCAUACAAUUUCGGUGAGGUUGUAGAUUACAUCUACCAACCUAACUUUUGAUAACGUCUAAUUUUUAAUACAAAAUAUAUUAGGAAGAGAAUUUGUUGUCCUAAAAUUUGUCUUUAACCAAUUACAAUAACGUAAAAAUUGAUAAAGUUAAAAAUACUUAAUUUUUUUAACUGAUAUAUCAUAAUAUGAUUAGUUUGGAACAUAUUUUAAGAUAACAAAUCUUUGUUCAAUAUAUUAAGGGGAUUAGUAAAAAGAUAACUUCAACAGAAUGGAAGAGAUUGAGUCACUUUAAACUAAUACGGCGUUGAAUUACAUAAAAAUUAAUAUUCAAAGGAUUUUCACUUAGAUGCUUAAUCAUAUAUUGUGAAUUAAUUUCUCAAUCUAUGGUAUUGGUAUAUUGGAGGAUACCAAAAAGAAAUAAAAACAUUAUCCCUUACAAAAUCAGUUUAAAAGAGUACCACAAAAAUAUACGAAGCUAUUUACCACAAAGUAUGAAAACGUCUCUCUGCCAAAGAUAGCAAUAUACCAAUAGCAUUAAAUGCUUCCUAAAGUGUAAAGACAACAUGUCAUUAUCAAACUGCAAAUCGUGAUUGAAUUUUCCUUUUACACAUUUUUUAUAAUCGAGAUUGAAUUUUCUACAAGUUGAAUUUAAUACUCACGUGUGGAACUUAGGUAGGGCUACUAUUGUUUGUCUGCUAAUUUGUCCCAUUAUAUUUACUUCAUUCUUACCCAAAAAAGACCACUUUAACGUUUUUCGAUUCCCUCUCAUGUUAAAAAAUAAUAUUUUCUUUGACUUGGUCGUAAACCCUAUUUUUUAAUUUUUUUUUACAUACCCUUUCAACUUUUUAGGAAAAUUAAAAUUUUAUAAUAUAUUUUACUUGCAAUAUGCACAAAUACUUAGAAAUGUCUUCAGUUCAUACUUUCCACUGAUGCCAAUUUCUAUAGCAUUUUAAAUUGCAUUUCAUAAUAGCAAUAUUAAAAUUUAGAGAGAUUUCAUAAUAAUAUUAUCUGGGAUGUAACAACAUAACAAAAAUAUAUAUCUGUUUUUCACUUUUAAUAUGUAUAUAGACUUUGGGCCAAGCCAUAUGAAAUCUGACGAAGUAUACAUGAAAAAAGUAGUACUAGUAGUACUCAAAUUCCCCACGUAGUCUUAAAUUCAACUAUCGAUAGCUAGAUAUUUCUUACGUUAGGUAUUUUAAUUGAUUUUUGGAUGAUCUUCUACACGUUACUACUCACUAUCAAUAGUUAGAUAGAAAUUUCAAUACAGAUUUGGUAUAAUAAACGAAUUUAUUCAUGCUUGAAAUUUCUGGAUAAUUAAGCACACACAAACUAUAACAAAAUUCUUCACACCAGCUAAUUAGAAAAGGACUGAAAAGUCUGAUAAAUCAUCAAGAUUCAAAACAAUAUAGAUAGCUAAACAUAGAAAACCACACGUAAAUUAUAAGAAAGUUCUUCACGUGGGAAAUUUAAUACUAACGUGUUGACCAGAAAAACCCUACGCUAAACUCAGAGUGAGAACUGGAACUGGAGGAUGCUGCCACUCUUAUUGACAACCCUUUAGCUUUCACCGCUUUCAUGUCAACACCGGAUCUAACCAAGUAGAUCAACCGUGUAGAAUUAAUUAAAGUCCACAUUAAACAAUGACUUUGUGGAAUAUAUUUGUUGAUUAUGUAACAAGCAAAAGUGUAGAGAGAAAAUUUGUUUUGUAGAAGUUUUUUUUUAUUCAUCAAUAAUGUAUAUAAUUUAUAUGAAAAAGAAAACUGAUGCGGGAAAAAUAAAUUCCUACAUGAAUAGCAUAAUAAGUCACAUAAGUGCUCCAACAUUGUAGGUGAAAUAUUUUUAACAGUCAUAUUAGAUCUUUAUUGCCUAAUAAACAUAAUAUAUUGACUAUUUAUUGCCUAAUGAAUAGAAACAUAAUAGCUUAUGAGUCAUACUAAUCAACAUUCCUCCUUGACUCUCGAGUUGUAAACUACAAGUUUUUGCAAUAUACUUAUUCUUAGAACCUUCAAAAUAGUACUUGGUUAUGUAAGUCCAUUUGACUCCUAUACCUUUCUUAUGCUUAGGCAUCUCUACCAAUCCACAUGUCUCAUUUUUUUAAUCAUCAUGAACUCCUCUUCAUUGCAUCUAUCAAUUCCUGGUCAAUUUUAGAUUCUUCAUAUCUUACAACAUUUGAUCGUGUACUCACAGGUCCUAUAACAUUGUGUAUUAGUUGCAGCUUGUGUGUCGCCUUCCAUGUCUUUUUUUGCGGAAAAAGAAACCUUGUUUGCUUCCCAUAUCAACAGACAAUACAUGUAGGAGACUUUGUUUCUAUUUGUUCAUUGUGUACUACAACUUGCUCAUCUUUCAUCAAAUCCAAGACAAAACUUUUGUCUUUCAUUUGAACUUUGAACACCUCUCUGCCUUCGAAUCUUUAAUCAUGCAAUGUUUGUCUUCAAACAAAACCUUAUAGUCUUUCUUCAUCAACUGAGGAACAUUUAACAAGUUGUG
rnacentral:lncRNA from 1 species